GAGGGGAUCACGCCUGGGAGGUCAGGUCAGGAGCUCCGUUUCGAAGAUGCUGAGUUUAGUGUGUCUAUUUGACAUGGUGUGAAGAGUCUGCAAUUGCAUAUUCAUUUAUCUAGUUCAGAUUUGAACCAGAGAUGUAAACUUGGACUUUGUUGGCAUAUGGAUGUUACUUAAAGCCAUGAUUGCAAAUGAGAUCCCCAAGGAAGUGAAUAGGAAUGGAGAAAAGAGCUUUGGAUUGAGCCCUUGAGCCCUCCAAUGUUAAGGAGCCUGUAAAGGAACAACCAAGAACAUGGAUGCCACGUGAAGAAGGUGUAUCACGGAGGGUGGAGUGAUUAAAUGCUGCUAAUAGGUCGCGUUAGAUGAGGCUGAGAAGUGACCUUUAGAUUUGGAGGCAGGGAGUUCAACAGCAGCCCUCAGAACAUGUUCAGGUGGGAGCAGAAGCCUGAAGACAAUUUAAGAGAGAACAUGAAGAGAUGAAUAGAAAACAGACAACUUUUUUGAGACAUCUUUUACUAGGAGGGGGGCAAAGAAUGGCAGGAGAAGUAAGGUCAAAUGAGAGUUUUGUUUUGUUUUGUUUUAAAUGAAAUACACAACAACAUGUUUGUAUGUUGAUGGAAAUGAUCCAGAAAGAAGAGAAAAAAUGACCUGUAGGAGAGAGUGUGAAGUAUGGUUGAAUGACGUCUUUGAGUCCAGUUAGCCCUCUGUAUCCACAGGUUCCACAUCCGCGGAUUCAACCAGCAGCAUGUUGAAACUAUUCAGGAAAAAACAUCCAGAAAUUUCCAACAUACAAAACCUGAAUUUGCCCCACACUGGCAACUAUUUACAUUGUAUUUACAGCUACUUAUACAGCUUUUACAUUGUAUUCAAUAUUAUAAAUAAUCUAGAGAUGAUGUAAAGUAUAUGGUAGGAUGUGCAUAUGUUAUAUGAAAAUGAUGCAUCAUUUUACAGAGGGACUUGAGCAUCCUUGGAUUUCAGUAUUCAUGGGGGUCCUGGAACCUCUCUCUCUUGGAUACUGAGGGAUGACUGUCCAUUAGAUGGAGUGGGAUGUGCUCACUGUGGGUACGGAUACUGGCAGGUGGAUAAAGGGGUGGUAAGUCUAACAAAUACUCUUCUGAACAGUUUAAUUUUCUCAGUGAUUUAGGAAGUGAGGUCACGAGGUGAAUAUGAGGCUGCUGGAUGGAGGUUCAAGGCUGAAGAAGAGAGAACUCGUGAAAUAGUCAUCGUGGGGAGUUGGACACUGAAUGAAACAGUGGGAUGCUAAGGUUGUCCAAUAAUAGAAGCCCUUUUGAGGCUUUUGAUGACUAACUAAACUGAAGUUAUACAAUUUAUGGUCAGUUAACUAAGUUAAGUACAAGGUUUUGAGAAAUUUUAUAGGUCGUGAACUGUUCUUGGCCCUGGAGGUAUCAAAUGAAUAGGAUGUGGCCCCUUCCCUCAAAGAACUCACAGUCCCACAGCAAGAGAGACUGAAAUAUGAAAUCAAUAACUCUAAUGAAUUGUGAUAAUUCUAUAAUUGAGUUAUACUCAUUGAUUUGGGAAUUACUGCCAAGUGCUGUUGCCAAAUACAGUGACACAUCAAGCUGGUGGGGUAUUUCCCAUCAGAAUCAGAAUGUGAUUCUCCCUAAAUACCCUCUUUCAGUCAAUAAGCAUUUAUUAAGACUCCAGCACUGUGCUAGGUGUUCAUGCUACAAUGGCAAAUAAGAGAACUUCUGCACUCAAAGAGCUUGCCAGCACUGCAGGGAUUUCCAAUCUUAGCCGCACAUCAGAAUCACCUCGGUGUUUUUAAAAAUCCAGAUAUCCAGACAGUGCCCCAUAUUAUAAGUCAAAUAUUUCAAGUUCCCGAGUGUUUCCAACAUGCAGUCAAGGAAGAGGACUGCUGAUCUCAGGGGAGUGACAUAUAGGAACACAGAAAAUGGAAAUAUAGGUGUGAAAAAUGCUGUAAGGUAGGGAAGAUACUAGGAUUCAGCGCCUUGGGAGGAAGAGCCACUGGGGCUGAGUAAAGAAUGAGUGAGGACCAGGGCUCUUUGGUGGGGUGAAUGGCAGACUCUGGGAGGGCUCACACCAAGGAGCACUUCCUCGAACUUCUGCUGCCAGUGUCCUUGUCCCUGUAGUGAGCCACAGCCACCCCCUGCCUCUGCAGGAGACCCUCCAACACUAGCAGGCAUUACUUACCCUUCUUAUAUUGCGCCAUUUAUUUUGAAUGACCACAUGCAUUCCUGUCUUCAAUUGUGAGUAGCAAGUUACCAAAAUUUCAGAAAUAAAUAGGAGACUUGGAAACUCAAGGAAUAAAAUAGAUUCCAGCCAGGGCUGAGUUAAGGAUUCAAACGUCAUCAGGGUCUGGGCGCUCCAGCUGGGUGUCAGGCCUGAACCUCUGAGGUGGGAGAACCGAGUUCAGGACAUUGGUCCACCAGAGACCUCCCAGCCCCAUGUAAUAUCAAUCGGUGAGAGCUCUCCCAGAGAUCUCCAUCUCAUCGCUAAGACCCAGCUCCACUCAAUGACCAGCAAGCUACAGUGCUGGACACCCUACACCAAACAACUAGCAAGACAGAAACACAACCCCACCUAUUAGCAGAGAGGCUGCCUAAAAUCAUAAUAAGUUCACAGACACCCAAAGACACACCACUGGAUGCAAUCCUGCCCACCAGAAAGACAAGAUCCUGCCUCAUCCACCAGGAUACAAUAAACAGUCCCCUCCACAAGGAGGCCUACACAACCCACUGAACCAACCUUACCCACUGGGGGCACACACCAAAAACAAUGGGAACUACAAACCUGCAGGCUGUGAAAAGGAGACCCCAAACACAGUAAGUUAAGCAAAAUGAGAAGAUAAAGAAAUACACAGCAUCUGAAGUAACAAGGUAAAAACCCACCAGACCAAACAAAUGAAGAGGAAAUAGAUAGUCAACCUGAAAAAGAAUUCAGAGUAAUGAUAGUAAAGAUGACCCAAAAUCUUGGAAAUAGAAUGAAGAAAAUACAAGAAACGUUUAACAAGGACCUAGAAGAAAUAAAGAGCAAACAGGUAAUGAUGAACAACAC
ensembl:lncRNA